rnacentral:lncRNA from 12 species
UUUAUUUAUGUUUAAAAUUUGAAAUUGUUGAUAUACUGACAUGGUACAAAACACAACACCAACGACAAAGUAUUUACUUUUUACUCCUGUCUCCAUGACACUUACUUCCCCAUCUACAGGCAGCCAAUGUUACUACUUACACUGCUCUAUCACAGCACCCCCAAGUCACCCCUAUAACCUGAGCAAGUUUAAUACCCAGGCUGAAGCUGUUUUCCUAAAAGAAAGGUUUUAAAACUGUCUGCAGUCUGCUCAGAGAAGGAGUUAAUGGAUCACAAAACUCUGAAAUGCACUGUACAUAAUGAAUAACAAAUACCCUUUUAAGAUGAGUAUUAUUAAAGCAUCAACAUGGUAUUAUCCAAAACGUAUGAAGUGUCUUCUCUCUUUCUCUCUCUCUCUCUCUCUUUUUUUUUUUUUUUUGGCCCUUACUAAUACAUUGAAAGCAUUACCUAAUGCCCACUCCAAAAGAUUAGAUCCCUUUGAAAGAAAAGAGUCAACAUGCAUAACACAUCCCAGCACCAUCCUGCAUCCUUUCCAUUUGGGUUCGCAGUCAGACAGUUCCCUGGUUUAAGAAAAAGAGCAUUUGCAAAAUGGCUCUUGGGGCUUAAUUGGUAUUUCUUUCUUUUUGCCUGCCAGUAUAAUCCAGGAGAGGAGACUGCAAAGCAAUUUAAGAACAUUAGCAUUGUUCCUAAAUACCCACAUCCAAGGAGCUGGAAUUCGUACCCCAGAGUCUCCAGUUCCAGAACUGUGAUCGUAGUGAAUGCCAUAAAGUCAAUAAACAUUACCAAGAGAGAGGAAGAACAUGUCUUGGGUAACCCACUGGUUCCAAAAUAAAAGACUCACAUGGAGCAGAGGCUGACCCACAGGCCUGCAGUUUGAAGCAAAGCCAUCACAACCAUUCUGCAGGUACACAAUCUGAAGCAGAGCAGCCAGGGGCUAACCUGUAGAUUUGUGAGCAAAAUAAUGAAUGGUUAUUAUUAUAUGCCACUGAAUUUGGGGAUGGUUUAUUACACAAGAUCUGACUGGUACAGAUAUUUGGACCUAGAAAUAAGUGCUUAUGCUAGCAAAAACCUAAACUACAUGGAUCUGGCUCAAGGAAACUAUUAAAUAAAGCUGAAGAGGUGGCUGUGCUUUAAGGUGGU